GCGCGCAGGCGGUCGUUCAAGUCGAGUGUGAAAGCCCCCGGCUCAACUGGGGAGGGUCACUCGAUACUGAUCGACUUGAAGGCGGGAGAGGGAAGCGGAAUUCCCGGUGUAGUGGUGAAAUGCGUAGAUAUCGGGAGGAACACCAGUGGCGAAGGCGGCUUUCUGGCCCGUUCUUGACGCUGAGGCGCGAAAGCUAGGGUAGAAAACG
rnacentral:rRNA from 1 species